rnacentral:lncRNA from 1 species
UCUGUUUUUAACUUCUCCACUGUUUUAUAUGUUUUCAUUUUCUCUUUUAUUCUCAAUCUUUUCAUCUCACAUCAUUCUUUUGGGUUUUGAGUGUAGUAUCAAGAACCGAUAUAGCUUUAUAAUUUAUUUUUUUGUUCAGAUUUUUAUUUCUCUGCUUCUCGGACUAAUACUCAUAUUCUUUUUGUAUGAUUCAGUUUAAAGUUUUUUUUAUGAAAUUUUUUCAAAGGAAGAUGAAGGAAAAGGAAGAUGAAGGAGAAACGAGACUGCGUAAAUAUAUUUAAAUAUCAGACUAUAGAAACACUGAAGGUAAAUAUGUUAGCACUUUUAUUUCAGUUUAACAGAGAAAGUUUAAUGUUAUUGAGUUUUUUUUCUCAGAUUUUUUCUGGUUUUAUUAUGGAUAUGACAAAGAAAGACUAGCUAAUUUUGUAAAAGAAAAAGAAUGUGAAGAUGACAUAUUGGUGCUGCUUGUGACGAGAUUAAGCUUAUUAUUGAUGUUAGUUAUUAUAAUUUUUU